UUCUGCACGGGGCUUCUGGGCAGGCAGCACUAACACUCUGGAGAAGGUCUGCCUCUGUCUGCGCUUUCCUGGUUCAAUGCAGGCAGAUGAGUGUCACAGAUGUAACUGAGGCACUGAAUAAUCAACAUAUCGAAGCCAAUUCCUAUGACGGCAAGAGGGGGAACCAGCAGAGAUGACUGACCGUGGAGGAUAAGAGCAUUCUUCUGACAAGUUUUAGCAUGGACUAUCCUCAGGAAAAUGAGAUCCAGGAAGAGUGACGCCCUCCUCGAACUGAAAGAUACUCAGGCUGAUGGAGUCAGGGAGGAAGUGGUUUAUCAACAGCACAGGAUGUGUGCAGGGAACAGAACUUUUUCAGACAUGCCCCAGAUUGUCUGCCCAUGGGGACUGAGGUACCUCUGAGAUUUACAGCAGGAAGGAGAGGCUGUUUCUACAGGUGCCACAGAAAAAUCGAUGCUGAGCCACGGAUUAUUGGAUCUCAUAGAACCGUGGAGACUUGGCAGUGAAAUUCUUCCAAAGCAUUCCAUCUGCACAGGCAGAGGUGUUCCUGGUUUGGGAAGUAUAAAUCCCGUGGGAAGUCAACUGGAGGACAUUUUACGCAUCACUCAUCCUAUUAUGAGCCUGCUGCUCCUUCCUCUCUUGACAAGGCCACCAACUAGAAGGGCACAGAAUUGUUCAUAAAACAGCUGAAUGUGAACAUCUUUGGAUUCCCAUUUAAUGAAUUGGCAGCUAAAGGACAGGAGCAGCAAUAAGGCUUCCUGGCUACAUUUUCAUGGUGCCACCAACUGCGAG
rnacentral:lncRNA from 1 species